UCCGGCCUCCGCGCUGCUGCCGCCGCAGCGGCUCCUGUCCUCCCCUCUGCUGUAGCGUCUGCGGCCCUGGGGGUGGUGGGAGCUGGCCCCGUUCGCUUCGCUUCCCCUUUGUCCCCGCCCGUCUCCGCCGGUGCCUCGGCAGGGCGGGGGCGGCUCGGAGCCCGCGGCGGGGGCGAGCUGGGGCCGCCCUCGGUCUGCGCCCGCUGGUUAAACCGCGUCGGGGCCGUGCAGGAGGGGUCACUGCCCUCCUGUUUUACCCCCGCGGGAGAGGGGUAAAAAGUCUGGCCAGGCCUUGCGACUGAGGUCAUUUUUAAAUCGCUUUUUAUUCUUUCUCAGUAUAUCGAUUGUAAAUGCAAGGUUUGUGGGAUCUGCGAACUCUUCUUGGCCUUGCCAGCAUAUAUACAUGUUAUUAGUCUGGCGUGGUACCUGCUGGCGACCUGAAAAAGAAGAAACUUUUGACACCUAAUGGUGUUGGAAGUAUGACCCUUUGGUCCUUGAGCUGCUUUCUGUACCCAUCCAGUGCUGGUGCGAAGCGUGACUCGGUUGUUUCAGCAGUGGGUUUUCUUCUCUUCCGUGAAAGAUUAAUCCAUAUCUAAGGAGUUCAAAAUUACAGGAUCCGUUUUGUUAUCUUCCUGUUACACAUUUCAUCUUGCUUUGGCUUACCCAGUUUUGAGAAUUAUUUAAAGUAAAACUUGUAAAAUGUAGUGGAUGCACAUGCAUUUUAGCAACUCAUUGCUGUCCUCAGGCUUGCUGUUUCAUCAUCAGUAUUCGUGUCAUAGUUGCUAUCUACUUAAGAUCUGAUCAAGUUGAAAACUGUGUAUUUUUUUGUGAAAAUAUAUAUUGUUUUUAAAUUGAACAUCUCAAAAGUUUCCAAGAAUGCUAUGGGUCUUUCAGGCAUUCAUAUUUUUUCUUAGCAGUUUAUGAUUGCAGGUGUAUAGCUAAUGCUCUAUCACCUUUGCUAAAGCUAAAAAGAAGAUUAUAAACAGUUGUCCAGUAUUUUCACUCUGUAUACAUAUUAAUGUAAAUUAUUUCUUCCUAGUUGUGGCAUUUUUCUUACAGGACUUGGUCAUUUGAGCUGCUUUUUUCUUAUGUAGUAGAGAACAUUUUAAAUUGAAAGCUUGGCUUAAGGAAAGCACAGAGGGUCAGGUAUUCCAGUGUUUUUAUUUUGCAGUGUCAUCUGCUGAUCUGUUGUAUUGCUGUAGUAUAUAAAAUACAUGAGUUUGCAGAACUGCAGUGUGUGUUUGUUUUUGAAUGCUUCAAAAAAGUAACUGGAGUUUACCUAAGGGACUGCCCAUGUGGUUACAGAGCUGAUGCCUCUAGCUUCACACUGAAAUCUAAAUAUUUACUUACUGCUCAUGAAUAUAAAUGGUAUAUGACUGAGGAAUGAUAAUUUUAUUUUCACUGUGGCAGACAGAAACGUUUGUGAAUAUUGAUUAUGAAAUGUACAGACCAAUUAGUUGCAAAUUUAAAAACACAGCUUUACAUGAGUUGCAAUGGUUUAACCCCAGCAGGCAACCGAGUACCACGCAGCCACUGGCUCACCCCCUCCUCCCCUGCCUAGCAGAGGGAUGGGGAGAACUGCAGGCAAAAUAAGAACGGUUUAAUAACUGAAACAGAGUAAUAAAAAAUGCUGAUAAUGCUAAUGAUGAUGAUAAUGGUAAUGAAAAGGAGAGAACUGCUCACUGGCCACUGACCAAUGCCCAGCCCAUCCUCAGACCAGCUCCCACCAGUUUAUAUACUGGGCAUGAUCUGUGGUGUGGAAUAUCCCUGUGGCCGGUUUUCUCCUGGGCACACUCUCCCAGUUUAUGUACCUCCUCACUCACAGGGCCUGGAAAACUGAGAAGUCCUUGAUUUGGGCUAAGCACUAUUUAGCAACAACUGAAGCAUCAGUGUGUUACCAACAUUAUUCUCAUACUAGAGAUGCAGCAUUGUACCAGCUUCUAAGUCAAAUUAACUCUAUCCCAGCCAAAAUCAUGACACCUCCCCCACCUCCAAAAAUAAAAGAAUUUUCUUCAAAGUAUGUGGCGUGGAGACCUAAACCAAUAUCCCACUUUGAGAAUUUCUGGAAAUUCUCCUCUAAACAUUUGUGAGUUGGGAAUGCCAUAGCAAAAAUUGGGGGCAGGAAGGCAAGGGUGAGAUAAUAAUCUGCCCAUUUUUUUAACCUGAGUAUUCAGAAGAAUUUUCCUAUGAAAUAACAUGGUAUAUUUUCCAAAAUGCUUCACAGUUUCAUAUCUCUAGAAAUGUCUUACAUCCUCAUAAGUUAACACCGUAAUAUACUUGUAUACAUGAUAAUUCCUUUAACUGAUUUUUUUUUUUUUCUAUCUCCUUUCUUUUUCCUCUUCAUUUCUCACAGACGAGGUUGUAUAGACUUGUGCACAUUCAGGUUCCUUAAAUGGUAAUUUGAAUCUGGACUGAGCUACUUAAGUGACAUAGCUUGUCAUAGCUCUACUUCCUUAGGAGCAUGGUAGGUUUGAGGCACAGUUUGUUUUUACCUCAAAGCUCUAAGCGUAGACCCCUCAGCCAAGAAACGAAAAAAGAAAAGCAUUAAGAAGUUGAUUUAUUUUUUAAGGAUUUCUGAAGCUGAUAAAGAUGAAUGAAGAUCCUAAUUGAGGAAAGAGCUUGUCAUUGCAUCACAGUUUAAAGGACAGCAAGGUUAUAAUGUAUUAAUGUGCAGAAAAUGAAAGUACAGCUUUUUAGAGAGCAGUUGCAAUCAAAAGGUGUUGGUUGUGCUGUUUUUUGUGAAGGUGGUAUGAACAAUGUAUCUGUUGCCACAAAAGUUGGACAUCCUCCUUUGCUUUAGUUUACCUGCUGAGAGUGGGGCUUUGUGUAUUAUGUAAAAGUAGGCUUGUGCACUAACCUUGCUGUUGAUGACACAGAAGGACACUGAUUCAAAUUCAUUUGCAUUUGUAAAUUGUUUGCGAUAUGUAAAAAACACAAACAAAAAAAGCAAAGUUGUCUUUCCAGCAACAAAAAUGUUCUUGCUUUGUUCACCACUGUUGUGAUUAUCAGUGUGAGUAUUGUUUUGUUAAAAGUAAAACUUUUCUAUAUUAUGAUGUAGUUUUCCUACUUACUUUUAUUUGUUUGGUGGGGUUUUUUGUUUGUUUGUUUGUUUUUUGUUUUGGUUUUUUUUUCAGUGUCUUCCUGUCUGUGCUACUGUUUUCUAUAUCUUUUUUUAGCAUUUCUAAACGUCUUGCUCAGUGGUGAAUUUCCCCUCUUAGUUCAUUGAUUCCUUUUUUUUUUUAAAUUAAAUUUAGCCAAUAGAACUGUCUUGUGUCAGAUCUAAUACUUCAGAUUUAAUAACUUUCAGUGUGUAGAGCUAAGGAUAUUUAGCUAGAUUUACAAGAAUAACAAUCACAAAAAACAGAUGCCUGGGAUUUUUUAGGCCCAUUGUGUGAGCUAUUUCUCUGAGACAUCUUUUCUGUCAGAAGAAACAUUUAGACCCUCAAAGUACAAGGAAUAAUGUUCAGCUGCUUUUUGUCAUAACAAUUUUACAUGUGUAUUUUAAUUUUUUUUAAAGUGUGCUAAUCCAGUAACAUUUUGGUAAUGUGCUUUGAUAUUAUGGAAAAAUUAUUUUCCAUUUUCUUCAUUGGUAUUGAACGAAAGGACUGUUCAUGAUGGAAAUAAAAGUGGUUCAUAUUGGGCAUCAUAUUGCAUCUCUGGCAUAUGGUUCUCCUUUCAAUUUAAUUUUUUUUGAUGAGCUGAAAUAUUUUUGGUACGUUUAUGUUUACAUUUUUUCCUUUUUCUGAUACAGUGUCCUCUGUGGAAUACUCUCAGUGGAAACAUAUGUUCAGAACUUCAAAGUAAUUACGCUAUUACUAAGAGCUUCAUAAUUAGAUUACUGAAACUAAAUGUUGAAAAAAUUUGAUUUUCUUUUAUCCAGUCAUAUCAAUUUCAUUUCAAUCUGCUUUCUGGCUGAUUGAAGAAACAUGGUAGGACAAAGUCAAAGCCUGAGCAGAAUUUCUGAAGUCUGGCAUAGACCAGCUCCUGAAGAAGAAAAGGGAGCUUAGAGCAGUGUUUAGUCUGAGGGCAAGAUUAAAAAAGAAAACAUAUAUUGCCAUUUUAACAGUAGAAUUUUAGUGGUAGGUACCUCUACUUGGCAAACUGGAUUGGGAUAGUUCAGGCAUGAGCUUUUCUCUAUGAUAACUGACCUUAUUUCUCAGAAGUAAUGGGUCCAGUUUGUGUCUAAGCUACUUCGUUUACAAAAUGUUAUCCUAAUUGCUUGUUAUCUUUCUUUAAGAGUGAAUUUUUUGUUGUGAUGAAAUGGGUGUAGCUUGUGUUUAAAAAAGCUCUUUACUGCCAGGAACAGUUCAGGGCUGCAGUCUAAGAUAUUGAUGUAGCAACAACAAAAUAACAACCCAACACCAAAAAAACUUGUUCUUUCAUUUUGCUCUAGCACAGUUCAGACACAGUACUUCGAAAAUACUUAGUCAGAACUGUAGAACUAUACCUCAUCUACCUCCUUUUUUUUUUUUUUUUUUUAGCUCAUCUGGAAAAUAUGGGGUCUUUUAAGAACAGGAGAUGUUAUCUUAAUGAUCCUCAACAAAAAUACUGAGUCUCUAGGUCUUACAAGGCCCUGGUGUAUUGGUUUGUUGACUUGCUUCAUAUUUUUUCUUCAAGCUGUAUGAAGCUAUAGCCUAACCUUUAAGUUGAUUCUUUUUUACUCACUUUACAUAAUUUUAGAAUGUUUUAUUCACACUAACUCUGUUACUGUUUGAGAUUUGGCUUUAGCCUGGUAUGUGCUUUAUGUAAGCAGUUGGUGUUCUGAGGCACAUAAAUUCAAAACUUGGUUAAUGAUGCAUGUUUUGAAUUUUUAAAUUUCUGUGGUUUGUUUUCAUAGUCUACUUUUUAUUCUACCUGCCCUUGUUAUACACAAUAAAAUAGCAGAUGAAACUGAAAAAUUUCUUUUACAGUACUUCUAACAAUUUCCAUUAGAAUUAUCUUAUUGGAAGCAAAUAUCCCAUCUGGUUUACUUUUUAACACAGCAAAACUCCAUAGUGAGCUGUGUGCUGGAGCCUGGCUGAAUUCCAUACAGCAAGGCUCUUGGCCCUAAGCAAGAUGAGCACAAUCUGUUUCCCUUAUUUCUAAUAAAGGAAAAGGAGAGUUUUUUUCAUUUGCUGCUUUGUUGCAUUAUGCUAACAUUUUAUGCCUCCCUUUCUUAGAAGAGCUGCUUUCCUGCUGUUUUCCUUUUUUUUUUUUUCAGUUAAAGGUAAAAUGAAAUGGCAUUACAGCCUUAUAAAAGUACUGAAAUAACAUUAAGACUCAAAAUAACAUUAAAACUCAAAAUUUUCAAGUAUGGCAUGGUGCUUUGGCCACAUCAAUCUCAUAAAAUACCUGAAGCUCAGGAGAAGUGCUUCUGGAGCUUUUUUCUGUUGUCUUGUUCCUCAAAUAAAUACAAGACUUAAAUAACAUAUACUAAAAUCAAUCAGAGUCAUACAGUUGAUCCUACCACUGCUCCUAAAGUUUACCUGUGCUGUCCAAAUUCAGCUUCCUCAGCCCAUAUCUUUAUGUGCCCAUUUGUAUCUGAGAAUUAUUGAGUCACAUAUACUUAACACCAGCUGAUUUUACUGUGGGUGUAUGCAACUCUGCUUAGGAGUUAUGAAGCUACGCCUCUGAAUUAGGCUCAGGUUUAAAUUUGUUGGUUUUUGUUAUAGAUAUGCAGACAAAAAUAAUUCCACAUUUAAAAAUAAGCAUCAGAUACUUUAAAAUUAUAUUUAAAACUAUACAGUGAUUGUAAUAUUACAUCAAUAAAUGAACAUUUGCUGUAUUAACCUACUGUCCCUUUUGCAGAGAUUUUGAAUUCUUGGGUAAUAUCCUGAUGGAAAGUCAUGUAACUUGCAUUCAAGUGAGCAUGCUGCUUUGGUACACUGGCUUCUUGAAAUUGUCUCAUGAAUACAUCUGUGAUUUUUUUUUUGUUCUUCCCAGUUGUGUAGAGUUUUGCAUUAAAAAUGCCAAGUAAUACUCAAAUACUACAAAUAAUCCUUGUUUGUGUUAUAAAUUCUAUUUGGUGACAGACUUAAAGUGUUUCUCAUGUUGAACUUCAUUUCUGAAAGCCUGGCAUUUCCCUACUUUCAUCUGUCAGUGAUAACAGUUGCAACAUAUGUUGUCCAUUCCUGAUUUUGUAAUUUAAGAACUUAGUAGUUCUUUUUAAUGUAAGUAAAAUAGAAGAAAUUAAGCACUCUCAGUGGGUAAUAGUAGAACUAUUGCUGGUAAUUCUGGUAAGAAGAUAUCCUUGUGUAACACUGUGUGCAAUGAGUAUUCAGUGUCAAUUCCUGUCUCUGCACUGUGUCAUUUCACAUGUGUUAUUUUAGAACUGUUCAUAUAAUCAGUUUCCUGAACUAGGAAAGCAGAGAUUGGGCUAUGAACCAAUUUAGGAUGCAAUUGCAACACAUAAAAAAAUGAGAUAGUUGAUUUCAUGUAAAUACACCUUUUGAAAUUUAGUUCAGUUCUAGACAUGAAUUAAAAUAGGCAACCCUUUGAGGACAAAGGACUGUGCACAGGGACACUUUUAAUUCUUUUCCAAUUGUGCAAAGUGGAUAUUAGGAUAAAAAGUCAAAAUGUUUGGGUUUCUUGUUCGUUUCAUCUACAUGAGACUGUUGUGCAUAUCUAUUUGCUGUGUGUUGUUGCUAAAGAAUCACUCAGUUAACACUGAUGUUAUAGUCAAAUAAGACAAUGCUGAUUUCUUCAGAAGGAAAGUUUGGAUCACUUCUAUUGGUUUCCAGCUGGAUUUAAAAAUCACCUAUCUUAGAAGAAACAAGUGACUUUUUGACAAGGCUUCUCAAAUGUUUCUCCAUUAGAUGGUAACAAUAUUCUGUUUAUCCUUGGUGUUUAUGUCAGGAAACAGAGUGAGAGGGAGAGAGAGCAGGGAGUAGUUAUUGUGUAGAUGAUACAGAAUCAGUACUCAAAGCCUGACUUUCUUUUCUUUUCCCCAACAUUAUCAGGACCAAUUAAUCUAAAAUUUAUCUUAAAAAUAUGUAGGUAAUGUGUCUAUGGAAUGAUGAUACAGCCACAAAUACAGCCUCCUUCCUUCCAUUUUGAAAGUACACCAGUGAAUCACUUAGGUCCAUGUACCUCUGAGGCUUUGCCUUUUCAGGCUUUUUAUCUGUGUUGGAAACUGCAAAUUACAACAAGCCACUCACUAAUACCUUAUUCUUAAUACCAAAAUGUGGUUGAGGGGGUGGAAAAAGCAGUUAAAACACUAACUGUGUUCUCUUGUUACUUUAAAAACUUAAAGAUGGAUUUUGAAUUUUCAUAUACCUAGCAUUUUUUGUGCAUUGGGCAUUAUUUUACUCAGAGAGCAGACUAAGCUUUUGAAGUGGACUUGUUUUAUUUCUACACCAGGAUUAAUUAAGUGUGUAAGGAUAAAGCUGAUUUUUCCAUGGUGGUUUACUGAUGCAUCAAAACUAAUUUUGUUCCAUUGAGUAAAUUACAAAAUGAGUGUCUAGUCCCUAUCCUAAUGUGUUUAUAUUGAAGGCCAUUUUUUCCUGAAUCUGUCCAUCUACUUAGCCAUGUGCAUUGAAAUCCAAAUGUUACUAAUACAUGACAUAAUUCUGUAAGAACCAUUUAUUAUGUGACCAUGAAGAAUGAAGUCUUGUGGUCUUUAUGUGGUAUUUGGUUUCAGUAACUGCUUUAUUUGUAGGUAUUUUUUACUAUAGUUAAAAGUGUUCCAAUUCCAAAUCAUAAUAUUUUUGCAUCCUAGAUAUCUUUAAUGGGAUAUACUUAGUUUAAUCCUUAAUUGAAGUAAAAUAUUCUUGUUAAAAGGGUCUGUUUCAGAGUAAUGAAAGCAUAAAUAGCUCUUAUGCUGUAUAACUAAAUGAAUGGAGAUGUGACACUUCAAAUCUUCAGAUAAACCAAAUUUCAUUAGAUAGACAAAAUUUUGCUGGUUUUACUUCUCUAUUAAAUUAGCAUCAACUUUCAGAAAGGAAUGUGGGAUUAUGGAUUUAGCCUGAAAGUUAAAAGGAUUUAAAUUCUUUAGGGCUUUUAGAGUCCCUGGGUUCAUGGUAAGUGGCUUCUCAUUUUGAUGGUAGGUAGCACUGUUUAUCUGACUUUCCCUGUUAAGUUAUUUCAGUAAGAAUGAUGCCCUAAGAGUGAUGCCCCUGUAGUGAACUAAGGAAGUUGCCAUCAAUUAUUAAUAACAUGCCGAGUUGAAUGUGAUUUUAUAGCCCCUUUAGGAGUUGGAGUAAUGUACUCUGUAAAACUAUUCAGUUCACCUGAUCUUGAUACUGGAAGCAUCAAAAACAUACUCCUACCUGUUCACACUAAAGGGGGGAAAAGGUGACUUGGGAAUGUAUCAUUUUAUGUAUCACUGUUUAGCCCUCAAUAAUUUCCAGAAACCACUAAUGUCUUAACUCCAACCGAAAACAGUAAACGCAUGAAGAAUUGUAGAAUUGGUGAAAUGCACAAAAUUUGUUGCCAUUUUAAAGACCUAAUAAUGAAUUUUUAUCUCUAGAGUAUUACUUUUGAAAUGACUGUUUAAUAAAAUGAGCUUUUUCAUACCUUUAUUAA